rnacentral:rRNA from 1 species
ACACAUGCAAGUCGAACGGAACUUCUUUAAUUGACUUCUUCGGAAUGAUUUUGAUUAAGUUUAGUGGCGGACGGGUGAGUAACGCGUGAGUAACCUGCCUCUGAGAGGGGAAUAACAUUCUGAAAAGAAUGCUAAUACCGCAUAACAUAUAUUUAUCGCAUGGUAGAUAUAUCAAAGAUUUAUCGCUUAGAGAUGGACUCGCGUCCGAUUAGUUAGUUGGUGAGGUAACGGCUCACCAAGACCGCGAUCGGUAGCCGGACUGAGAGGUUGAACGGCCACAUUGGGACUGAGACACGGCCCAGACUCCUACGGGAGGCAGCAGUGGGGGAUAUUGCGCAAUGGGGGAAACCCUGACGCAGCAACGCCGCGUGAAGGAUGAAGGUCUUCGGAUUGUAAACUUCUUUUAUUAAGGACGAAGAAAGUGACGGUACUUAAUGAAUAAGCUCCGGCUAACUACGUGCCAGCAGCCGCGGUAAUACGUAGGGAGCAAGCGUUGUCCGGAUUUACUGGGUGUAAAGGGUGCGUAGGCGGCUUUGCAAGUCAGAUGUGAAAUCUAUGGGCUCAACCCAUAGCCUGCAUUUGAAACUGCAGAGCUUGAGUGAAGUAGAGGCAGGCGGAAUUCCCCGUGUAGCGGUGAAAUGCGUAGAGAUGGGGAGGAACACCAGUGGCGAAGGCGGCCUGCUGGGCUUUAACUGACGCUGAGGCACGAAAGCGUGGGUAGCAAACAGGAUUAGAUACCCUGGUAGUCCACGCUGUAAACGAUGAUUACUAGGUGUGGGGGGUCUGACCCCUUCCGUGCCGGAGUUAACACAAUAAGUAAUCCACCUGGGGAGUACGG